rnacentral:rRNA from 1 species
CAGUAGCCACGGUAAUACGAGGGGUGCAAGCGUCAUUCGGAUUGAUUGGGUGUAAAGGGUGUGCAGACGGCUUAUUAAGUCACUUGUUAAAUUCUUCGGCCUAACUGAAGGUCUGCAAGUGAUACUGAUGAGCUAGAGGGUGGAAGAGAGAAGUGGAAUUCUCGGAGUAGCGGUGAAAUGCGUAGAUAUAUGGAGGAACACCGGUGGCGAAAGCGGCUCUCUGGUCUGUCACUGACGCUGAGGCUCGAGAGCGUGGGUAGCGAACAGGAUUAGAUACCCCCGUAGUCCCUGUCUCUUAUAC